AAUCCAUUUUGAGGGCUGUUUUAUUUGGCAGGUGAGUUGUUACACACUCCUUGGCAGAUUCCAACUUCCAUGGCUAUCGUCCUGAGUAGCCUACCUACUCAACCAAGACCUUU